rnacentral:rRNA from 1 species
UACGAAGGGGGCUAGCGUUGCUCGGAAUCACUGGGCGUAAAGCGCACGUAGGCGGCUUCUUAAGUCAGGGGUGAAAUCCUGGAGCUCAACUCCAGAACUGCCUUUGAUACUGAGGAGCUUGAGUCCGGGAGAGGUGAGUGGAAUGCGAGUGUAGAAGGUGAAAUGCGCAGAUAUCAGGAAGAACACCUAUGGCGAAGGCAGCUCUCUGGGACGGUACUGACGCUGAGACGCGAAAGCGUGGGGAGCGAACAGG